rnacentral:lncRNA from 1 species
GCGAGAGAGUAAGAGUGACCAAUCUGGUUUAGAGGAGGCAAAGAAUGAUGAGUUGAUAUUAAGAGAGAGAAAUAACCUGAUUUAUCAAUUUAAAGAGGUGAUUGUUGUCAUCAAAAGAUAUUUCUUUUGAAAUGGCAUGUUUGAUCCUGAUUAAAGCAACUUUCAUUUUGCAAAAGAAUUGACAACUUUUAUUUAGAGAAUGAAAAACACAAGGCUUUCUAGACAACAUUUUAUGAUUAUUAAAGCAUACUGUAGCGAUACCAACCUAAGAGAUAAGACCAAGUCCCUCUUUUUUGAGUGAAUCUUCAAAUUUAUGCAAGUCACAUUUGUCCAUUUUCAAAGUUGUUCCCAUGGGUUUAUACCUGCAAGGGGAUGGUACUGAUUUAGACUAAUAUGCACUUACUUUGUCAAGGAUAUUUGUCUUCUUAUCAUAGCCAAUUUUAUGGAGAGACGUUAAUUCACGUAUUAGGUUAAGUCAGUAUCAUGCUUUAAUCUCUGCACACUCCUUUUAUCUUCAAUACCUAUUCCCAAAGAAGGUCUAGGACCAGGUCCCGGAAUUGACUUUAUUUGAGUUGCUGAAGCUUCUCCUUCUGAGAUGAAUUUCCUAGGGAAUAGGUUCCUGAGAAUCAAGACUUAUCUGCAUCGUUCAUCCUUUUGCUCAUUAUUUUUAGCACUACCAAGAACCAAUAAUUUUCCUAACUAAUCAGGAACUACAUACACCCCUUAUAUGAAUCCAUAAAAUUCUUUUUCAGUUCAUUCUCCAAAGCAUUUUCAUUCAUCAAAUCUAAAGGUCAUUCUAGGGCUUCCUUUUGAACAUAAGCUUCAUACACCCCUUUUUUGAACAUCAACUUUUAUAAUCCAAGUACUAGGUCCUUAAGCUCAACUUUUCACAAUAAUACACCUUUACCUAAAGUGUCUUAAGAGAGAGAACAUAGUCAGACCUUCCAUCAUUGAGCUUUGAACUCUUUCAAUCAGCGAUCUAUUCCUAACUGCAAUACCCUUCCCAUUCUUGGAAUCAUGAUCACAAGUUAAAUUUGGGAACCCAUUUAAGAUUAAGUUCCUAGUAGGAAGAUAAUGGUAUGAUCAAAUUCUUCUUAGCCCAUCUAGGUAGUGAUAGCUUCCUUUUUACUUUUUUCAGAGACUCAAAGCCCCUAAGGAUGUGCAUUAUCCUACUGAGUGUAUUCAGUAUUCCUUAAUUUUUCCUUAAGCUAGUGCUGACAUCUUUCGUUCAAAUGUUCAUUUCUUUCAUAGUGAGUGCACAAGAGUUUGUGCCCUUUGCUUCUAUAUCAUGGGCAACCUUUCCUUUAGACUCAACAGAUUGGCAUUUUCCUUGAUAUCCCAGACCUAUAACAUCAUUAACACCUUGACUAGUCAAGUAAAAAAGGACCAGUGAAGAAGUAGUCCACUUCAGAUACUUAUUCAACUCUUCUUUCAAGUGGACUAGGUCCCUCUCUAACUCUUCAUUUUUGUGAAGUUCUGACAUAAGGUGUUUUUGUGUAGCUUUCAAUUUCUCCUCGAGAUCAAUCUGAAGCCUUGAGGAUUUUUUCUUCCUUUUACCAUCUACACCAUUUACCUUCUUCAAAUUCAGAUUUUUAGAUUUCAUCUUUGUGAAUAACUCUUCAAUUCCAAAAAUUUGGAGAGUUAAAGCAAUCAGCUCAUGCUCUUGAUCCUCUACUUUUUCUUCUAAGGCAUUCUUCUCAGCAGUUAGUUCACAUGCAUAGUCUAUCAACACACUUGCAAGCUUUUUUAUCUUCCUAGCAGAAUAGUUAUCUAGAUUUUCCUUUAUAUCAGAGGAAGUUACCUCAUCUUUUUCUUCAUCAUCUGUAUUUUCCAUGAAAGAAAAUAAGAAAUUAUAGACAACUAGAUUAUCUUCCACUGCUAUCAUGGAAAGAUCUCCAGUUUUCUCAUCUUCACUUGAAUCACUGGAAGAGUAUCCCCAUGCUGCCAAAGAUUGCUUUACAGCAUAUUCAGCUGUUGUCUUUCUUCUUGAAUCUUUAGGGACUUGGUCCUUGUUAUUUCCCUUGUCACCUCUAGUCUUGACGUAGCCCUAGUAAUCCAUUUUUUUGUAGUAGACAACCUUUAAUGAAAUGCUCAUGACUUCCACAUUUAUGAAAUACCUCAGUAGUAAUUCCCUUUUUGUUGUUGUUUUCUUUUGUUUUGAACUAACCACUCAUCUUCAUGGCUUUAACAAUCCUAUUUACCAAAUAGGUAACAUCAGUGUCUUCAUCAUCAACUAGAUCAUAUUUAAAAGCUUUCAAUGCCAGGAAUUUUUCUCUUUUUGCUUCCUUUUUCUCCGGCCUUUGCAACUUUUUCAACUCAUCAGUCUUUAGAUUUUCAUUGAGUUCAUCCAUUGUGAGGGUUUUCAAGUUCCUUGCUUCAUUUAUGGCUUCCACUUUGCUCUCCCAGGACUUAGUAAGAACACCAAGAAUUUUUCUCACUGGUUUGUACAAGGGAAUCAUUUGACCUAAGCAGUGAAGCUCAUUUGUGAUAGAAGUGAACCUUGUAUGCAUUUUUGGAUUGUUUCUCCUUCUUUCAUGGUGAAGGUUUCAUACUAAGUAGUCAGCAUGUCUACUUUUGAAUAUUUCACAUUAGUGGUGCCUUCAUGAGCAGUCCUCAAGUAAUCCUAGAUUUUUUUAGCAUUUUCACAAGCUGAGAUCCUAUUGUAUUCAUCAGGACCUAUGCCAUAUAAUAAAAAUUUCUUGGUUUUGUAAUUUUUUUAAAUGUUCUUCCUGUCUUUAUCAUGGCACUCUCUUCUAUUUUUAACAACCAUUUUUGUAACCUCUCCUUCUUUAACUUAUUUAACAUGCACAUGAGGACCAUCAAGAAUUAUGUUCAUCAACUCACUAUCUUCAGUCAUAGUGAAGUCAAACAUCCUGGUUUUCCACCACUCAUAAUACUACUCAUUGAAUCUUGCUGGUCUAGUGGUAGAUUGUCUUUCUUUUAGAUUAUGUGGAGCAGUCAUGCUAACUAGGACACUCUAGGUGUGAACCUAUUAUAGAGACCUUCUCUAAUAUCAAUUGUUAAAACCCUUGGGGGUUGCACCACACAGUGAGGGACCAGGUCCCUCAAAAUCUAUGACAAGAAAAGUACACAAAAAUAACCAAAAAGUAAGAGACAAUGUUAGAAGAGUAAAGACACAAAGAUUCUUAUGUGGAAAUCUAGGAAGGUAAAAACCACGGCUUGUCCUCGCAAGCACCAAAGAAAUCAGUUAUAAUCAACCUCCUGAUUACAUUCUACAUUUUAGCCUACCUCUAGGCUUCUUUCACUAGUAGACACUCUACUACCAGCUCAUCUUGGUAACUCUACUAAGAACCCUCUCUACUGAUUAGCUCUAAUCAAUCACAAGCUUAGGCAACUCUACUUAAGCACAUCUCUCAAUAAAAAAAACACUACUCAUAUAACAUGAGUAGUUCAAUUACGAACCAUUACUCACUCAAGCACAUUCACUCACUCAUUAAGCAUAUUACAAAUAUAAAAACAUGAGUAAUGAUUGAGCAAUCUUGAAAUGGAGUUUUUGCUGCCACUUUUAAUUCUUUGAUUUUUACAAAAACUAAUUUGAUGAAGAGGAGUCUAUUUUCUUUUAUAGCAAGUGAUGAUUAGGGCUGAAAGAUCAUUGGACCAGCUGUUCUAAUCAAUAUAAAACUGCACCUGCAAAUUUGUUAUACAAGAGGACAAAACUUUACAAACAACACGUGCCAGCUGUACUGUACCAUGUACAUCGAGGAACCUGGUCCCUUGCAGUUAGUUUCCCAUCAUUAAAACUACAUGUAGAACUAAGUGUAUCCAGACUCAUCAUAAUAAUGAAUAAACUGAGAUACUAUAAAGCAUAAAUAGCAAAGUCUAAAAUUGGUAAAGUUAGUGAGUCGAUACACUUAAUUUCUAAAAUCAUCCUUUUUUUGGGAGAUUCUUACAACCGACAUAAACCAUGUAAGCAUCACGGAGUCCAACGUCUAACCCCUAUUGAGAAGGGUUGACCCAUACCUUGCUAUCGGUAUAGAACGUGAACUGGAAUGAUCACUAAAUUGAGCCUAUUUAGGCAAGGGAGAUACUUUCUGGCGUGGAACCCUUUAACCUAUGAUGACAUAUGGUUUUUGGGAAUUGGGUGUGCUGAACUCGCAUCCCCUCAGUUCUAAAUACUACUCCCCAUCGCGCCUUAUUUUUCUCGUAAAAAGCAGAAUUUGAUGUGACCACUCUUCUUGGGAUUGUUUUAAGGAAGAAGUGUGAAGAGUCGCCACCUAACGAAUUAAGGUGCGUUAGGGUACCGAUCUAGGAUAACUACAAACCUAUUUUGUUAUUUAGUUUUAGUUCAUCAGAGUUCGGGUAAGGGUUCAAAUUACCUCAAAAGGAAGGUGUUAGGCACCUUUCGAGGUCCACAAAGGUGGUUCCCGACCGAGUUCAUAUUUUACGUGGGGAUUCUAUGUGAUCAAAUAAAAGUCUCUUAUUUUAACUUAAUUGUUAACUAAGUGAUGAAGUAAUUAAUGAACAGACACAUAUUAUUUUAUUAUUUCUAAUUGUUGAUUAUCUAAGUGAUAAAAACAUAAUAUUAUAAACGAGGAGAAAGAAAUUGCAUAAUUUAUAACAAAAAGGGGACUGCUUAUUUAAAAAAACUAACUACCCCAAAUAAAUAAGCAUGUAAAGUAAAUAAAAAAAAUUAUCAAAUCAAACAAAGAAAUUGUUUUGGUCUCAUUCAAAUCAAAACCCCAAAUUGUUUAAUCAUCAUCCGACCUAGUGGCCGAACUCUUAGACAAGUCAUAUGUCUUACCUUUAAUGUAUAUUAGAGAUCGUCACUUCCGAAUGACUACCUGUUCCACCCCAUCUAGGUUGUUUGUUAAAUCUAAAGGCGUUCUAAGACAAGGAUAAAACUAACGUCUUUAGUAAUAUCUAUCGCCCCAUCGUCCAAGAGGCAUUGGACUUUUCUAUUUUAGUUUUGUGGUCUAGACAAAUAAAGCUAUGUAGCCUAGGACUCGAAACACGUAACAAAUAGGACGCCACGUAGCACAUAAUUGUCCCAAGUUAUCAUGUUGAUUAAUUAAAGUUGAUUAGUGUGAUUAACAUGCAAAGAUAAAUAAUAGCUAUUUUUGUGUUAUUAAUCUAUAGGCAUGAUAUCUAAGUGUUCAACAAGUGUUAGUGUGACAAAAUGUAACUGCCCAAACAUUUAUAACAAUGUGGCAAAAAUUCAUGAGAAGACAUGUCAAAAUUAAACAAGUGUUAAAGAAUAAGAACGUUAAUUUAUUACAUAAAGCUAAUUAAGCAUGAUGUCUAAGUGAAAAGUUAUUGCUAUGUCAAGAGGGAAUUAGUAAAUGCAUCAAAAGUAUGUCAUGAAUUUGUUAAAUGACGUGUCUAAGUCAAAUAAGCAUGUGAUGAAGUGAUAAUUAUUUAUUAUGCAAAGGAUAGUUAAAUGUAAUUAAAGUGUAGGAAAAUAAUCUUGUAUGCUAAGUAGUGAUCUAAUAUGCUGAAAAUUAUCCCUUUUAAAAGGCUAAAAAACUAGUUAAAGUGUUGAAAAUAUGCUGAAAUUAGUGCUAAAAGUCAAAUUUAUAUUGCUGGAAAGUGAUUUUAAUGCUGAGAAUAUUAUUUAAAAUGCUGAAAAGGUGAACUAAUAUGCCAAAAGUGAUAAAAAUGCUGAAAUUAUAAUUAUCCUGAUUUAAUGUUGAACAGUGAUUUUUGUACUAGAUAUUACCUUUUAAAUGCGAAAAAUUUAGUUAAUGAGUUUAAAAAAAUGUUAUUAGAAAGUUGAAAAUUAAAUAUAAUCAUUGAGAGUGUGAAAGAAUGCCAAAGAUGUCAUUUGUAAUAUGUCAAAUUUUGUUAAACAUGCCAAGGGUAAAAUACGUUACAAGCAUAUUCAAACAUAAUCUUGAUAAUGAGAAAUUAGUUAAACUCCUAAAAUCAUGAUUUCUAAAUAAUACGCAAUUUAAUUAAUGAAUCCUAAAUUAUGUAACCUAGGUGAUUCAUAUAGCAUAUAAAACACGUAGCCCUAAGUUAUGUUAGCCUACGUGAUUCAUCGAGCACAUAAAUCCCCGUCCCCUAAGCAGUCCAGAAUUCAUUAUAUCGAGAUUUAUAAAAAUUAUUACAACACAGUGAUUUAAAAUAAAUAGCUAAGUAAGGAAAAAAGGAUGAACAACCCCUUCCCCGAUAUCCCAAUGACUCUUCAAGUCUCCAAAACUAUCUAUUUAUACCCGUGAGACAAUACGUAAUAGCAAUACGAGCAAGAAUAUAAUAUAACACAAACAUAGCAAGCAAAUACCGAAUAAUUCUUGCAAACAUGUUUACUAACAUCAUCAAUAAAGAAAAUUACGUCGACAGAGACUUACUGAUUGAUGAUAACAUAAAGUAAUAAUAAGAAAACCCAAGCAGUACAGGAUCACAGAGAGGUCGAAAUCAAUGCUCCAACAGUAAGUAUAGAAAUUAAUAAAGUCAGAUUGUUUCUUGUUCGCUUAAAACUUUCUUGUGAUGGUGUGAGUUGUAAGUUCUUGUUUAUCACAGAGAAUAGGUAGAGUAUAGAGAGUAAGGAGAGUGUAAAUAUUAUAGAUUACAAAUUGUAAGUUGUUGUCCUUUAAAGAAUGAGGAAGGGUGGUUUAUAUAGCAAAAGAGUUGUAGGCAAUCAAAAGAAUAAAGGAAGGGAUGGUAUUCCUCCAAUCAAUCAAGAAAAUCCUUUCCUUUUAACAAGUCAGCAAAAUCAAUUCAAUGGGCAUAAUUAUGCUAAAUUGUCAUUUAAAAACAUUCAAAUAAAAUUAGUCCAACAUUGAAAAGGAAAGGAGAUCAAAGUUACCUCCCAUAACUACAUAAAAUCUUUUCACUAAGAAAAGAAGCAAGUCACUAAUCACAGUGUAAGACAAAUGAAAAUUACGGAAUAAAUCCUACCUUACAUAGAAUAAUCAGAUAUGCAAAAAAAAAUCAAUCAAAGUUAUCAAAAUAAUCACUUACCCUAAAUUACUUAUCAAUUUACAUAAAUAGGAGAAUAAGAAUCAAAAGGGAAAAUCAGUAUCAUUAAUCAAUCACAAAUGUUUCCCAAAAAUAGAAAUGGGAAAUGGAAUAAGGAUAAUUUUAACAAUCAAUCACAGUAUUAAUAUCCUUAAUCAAAUAAAUUAAAUCAAUUCGGAGCCAAGUUACCUUAAAUAGGUGAGUAAAAAAAUAAAAAUAAAAAUAUGAAUAUGCCAUUUACCAAAAUAAGAAGCAAACAAUCAAAUUACUGUAAUUACACAUGAAACCUAAUUCAAAUUGUCAAAUAAUCCCGUACAUUUGCUGGCAUGUUAAGGUAAAUUAGACAUAUUCAAAUAGUUGAGCACGAGAUUAUCAUAAUUUCAAAUUUGGGAUACUGCGCACAUAACUCAAAUAUAAAAAUCAAGAGUAGACGAAAAACCACAAUUCCAUCGUAACUCAUGCCAACAACAUAACAGAGAAUCAAAGUUAAAGCAAGAAAUUGGAAUUUUUAAUAUAUGACGAUCUAAGCACCCAAAUCACAAAAAGUAACAUCAAGAACAUCAACCGAAGCUCAAUCUAUUUAAAAUCAUAGAACUAAUAUAAUAAUAGAAAGAAUAAAUAAGAUAAAACCUGUAAUAGUCGACCUAAUUCCAAAUAAGUUAUUAAUCGUUAC